AAUCGAACUCGGAGAUAGCUGGUUCUCCCCGAAAUAGCUUUAGGGCUAGCGUUAUUUUAGAUUACCGGAGGUAAAGCACUGAAUGGUCUAGGGGCCGCGAGGUUACCAAAGCCUAUCAAACUCUGAAUGCCGGAUAAUUGAUGAAUAGCAGUCAGACUGUGUGAGAUAAGUCUCAUAGUCAAAAGGGAAACAGCCCAGAUCUACAGCUAAGGUCCCAAAUGAACACUAAGUGGAAAAUGAUGUGAAACUGCGAAGACAACCAGGAUGUUGGCUUAGAAGCAGCCACUCAUUCAAAGAGUGCGUAAUAGCUCACUGGUCGAGUGGUUUUGCGCAGAAAAUGUAACGGGGCUAAGUGUUCAACCGAAGCUUAGGCAUUGCAGUAAUGCAUUGGGUAGGGGAGCGUCGUAUGCGGGGCGAAGUCAGAGCGGAAGCACUGGUGGACUGCAUACGAGUGAGAAUGCCGGAAUAAGUAGCGAGAAUUAUGUGAGAAUCAUAAUGGCCGAAAAUCUAAGGUUUCUUGGGGAAGGUUCGUCCGCCCAAGGUAAGUCGGGAGCUAAGCUCAGGCCGAAAGGCGUAGGCGAUGCACAUACGGUAGAAAUUCCGUAACCACCGAACAUUUAAGCUAGAGGGACGCUUUCUUUAAGUCUAUCCCGGGCGAUGGUUGCCCCGGGCGUAAGGGACCGAAAUAUAGUAGGGAAGUAGAUGGCGAGAGAGACGAGAAAAGCUCUAGUGUAUACUAAGGUGCCCGUACCGCAAACCGACACAGGUAGAUGGGAUGAGUAUUCUAAGGCCAACGGGAGAAGGGUUGUUAAGGAACUCGGCAAAUUGGCCCCGUAACUUCGGGAUAAGGGGCGCCUGCGAGAGCAGGCCGCAGUGAAAAGGCCCAAGCGACUGUUUAGCAAAAACACAGCUCUCUGCUAAAUCGAAAGAUGACGUAUAGGGGGUGACGCCUGCCCGGUGCUGGAAGGUUAAGGGGAGUGCUUAGCGCAAGCGAAGGUGCGAACUUAAGCCCCAGUAAACGGCGGCCGUAACUAUAACGGUCCUAAGGUAGCGAAAUUCCUUGUCAGGUAAGUUCUGACCCGCACGAAUGGCGUAACGACUUGAGAGCUGUCUCAACAACAUACCCGGCGAAAUUGAAGUACUGGUAAAGAUGCCAGUUACCCGUGAUAAGACGGAAAGACCCCAUGGAGCUUUACUGUAACUUGAUAUUGAAUUUUUGUAUUACAUGUACAGGAUAGGUGGGAGACAGAGAACUAAUGCCGCCAGGUGUUAGGGAGUCGAUGUUGGGAUACCACUCUUGUAAUAUGAAGGUUCUAACCUGCACCCGUGAAUCCGGGUGGGGGACACUGUCAGGUGGACAGUUUGACUGGGGCGGUCGCCUCCUAAAAGGUAACGGAGGCGUUCAAAGGUUGGUUCAGCACGGACGGAAAUCGUGCAACGAGUGCAAACGCAUAAACCAGCCUAACUGCGAGACCGACAAGUCGAGCAGUAACGAAAGUUGGAGUUAGUGAUCCGGCGGUAUGAGAGUGGAAUUGCCGUCGCUCAACGGAUAAAAGCUACCCUGGGGAUAACAGGCUGAUCUCCCCCAA
rnacentral:rRNA from 1 species